AAAGAAACAAAAAACAUUUCGCUCAACUCCACUUGCCAGCACUAGACAUCUCCUUGUUUAUGUUACUGGCAUAGAAAAGAUUCAUCAGCCUCCAAAAGCACAUGAGAUUUGCUUCAAACCAUCAAUGUAAGUAUUUAUGGCAAGAUUACAGCUGUUUGAAUUCAAAGGAAGUCUGACCACACUCUUUGUGAAGCUGAUGAUACAAUUUCAAAGUGACUGAGCCUUAUUGAAUUUCAGGAUAUACCAGUGCUAGCAAUAAGCUAGUUUUUGUCAAUGAUAGGAAACUAUAUGAACUGCUGUGGAGCUGUAGAAAACUCAUGCUCAUGUGGAAACUUGUAAAUAGGCAGAGCCAGAACACCAAAGAAAUAUCUGGAUACAACUGUAGAGAUAAAAGUAGGGCAUCAAAAGCCAGAAAUGUGUCCAGUAACAGUGAGACAUAAUGCUUGUGGGAAGACUGAGAAAGAAGAAAAUAAGUCAAAAAUGGAAUUGUCUUCUAGAGACCACCAGGGUAGAUCAGAGUAAUAAAAUAUCCUGGAUCAACUCAUCCUGGUAUUUAAAACCACAUAGUUCUCUUACCCAUGGGGAAAUUUUAAAUAUACAAACAUCUGUUGUGUAACAAACAUUUAAAUUUGGUUCAUUAAAGUGCAGUUCUACCCUUUAAAGUGAAUAUGUGAGAAUAACAUCUAGGACCUCCAUGUUUGUGGUCUCUCAAAGAUGACUCUAUCAGAUUGUUCCUGUUUACCAGUUAAAAGAUGCUUCUCUAACAUCAGUCCACAAACUUAACCUUAUUUCUUCAAGGUAGUAUGAAUUUUCUGCUUAUUUGGCAUUGCCAUUUGACUUUUCUUCCUAUUAUACCUUUGCGGUCUGAACUGUAGACAUUUCUAAGUAAUCAGAAAGCAGAAAACAUAGAUGUUCAUGAGGCAGAAGGCGAAACAUAAGCAAUUUCUCACUUGGUCUUGCUAUCUUUGAUCCUCUGGCGCUCAUUUUCUCUGUGCCCUUAGCAACUCUGACCAACAUGAGCAAUAGAGAGGACUUGGCUGAAGCAGCCCCUUUGCCUGUUGUCUUGGAGAGAAGCUGCUUUCUUAUCUCCUUCUAGAACUCACAGCCUGAGCCUAAUAGUAUGAAAAGCUGCCAUUAGCAAUGGUUUUGUGGAGAGCAGUUAUACAGUUUGAGGAAGUGAGAUGGUGAACAAUGAAGAAAUCUUAAUUCUAAGCUACAGACUUGAAUUGGAUCUUAAGAAGAAGGUGCUCAGGAGCGAACCAUGAAGAAACAACAAUGUUGACAUAUGAUGAGAGAAAUGAAUUAAAAUCAAGGGGUUUACUCCUGAUUCUACUGUGCAUUCUGCUCAUUAAUGUAAUCGGAUAGCUGGGCCUCCUGUCUGUCAAAGGUAGUAAAAGGCUGAAAAAUGCAGGUGGGAAAUGAUAAGGGAGAUUCAGCAUGGAGAAGCUCACCACAAAACUAGAGCAAGUCUGUGAACUUGGAGGGAACAGGGAAGGAGAGAGAAAGAGAAUAUCUAAAACAGGGCAGCCCUGGUUUAGGGUGGAGCAAAGUCACUUUCUGCAAGAACUUAACACUCUUGUAAGCAUAUAGUUGCUACUAGUGUAUGUAAAAUUAACAAGUAAAAAAGUGCUAGAAACUAUCUUCAGUUGGGGAUAGGAAGAAGUAGCUAUAGUAUCCAGGUAAAUUCUUUUCCUCUCUAGUUGUUAGACUGGUGCACUCAGCCCUAACAACAUACCUGUGUGUGACUUCUUACCCUCUUGCAGUGUGGUUUCUGUAGCCCUGUUCCCAAUGAGAACAGUGGUUUCUGCUGGAAUGAGUGUUACAUGUGGCUUCAGGAAACACUCGUCCCCAGAGGUUAUGACAAGACCAUAUCUUACGUCUGCUGAUACAUUUCUGAAAUGUGUUAAUACAAUAAACAUGGUAUUAACAAAUCACUAUCAUUAAAUCCUAAUUUAACAACAUAAGCUUGUCCUACAAAGAAUCAUAUAUUCCACAGAGAAUGAGAAUUCUACCUGCACCUUGUACCAUCUUUGUUCAUCAAGUACAGCUCUCUUUACGACUCCAUUUCAAAAAGCUGCAGUCCUUCUACCAUACAUCUGAAGAACUUUUGAGAGAAGAGAACCCUGAGGAAAAAUUAUGAGGUACUGCGGGGAGAAAUCCCAUCAGAGUUCCAGACCCGAGCGGACGGAGGAAGAAAUGCAGCUGACUCAAUAUGAGUGAUAAAGCAUACUUCAACUUUAUUGCCCGAGAUAGCGUGCAUUUAUACCAAAUACCAUAAUUAUGCAUACUUGUCUCUAUCUAAUAGGCUAAGCACAUUUACUUACUCCACCUACUUGGGUUUAGCUAGCUAUGUGCAUCCCACAUUCUUCUGACUCUUAUCUCUUCAAAAAUAUCCUGACCCUGCCUUAGUUAGUACUUUUCCGUUCCCCCCUUUCCCACGGCCUAAUAGACAAGCUAACUAAGGCCUACUUAUGUCAACUAAAAUGGGCUCUGCUCGUACAGUUGCUUGGUGGACUCAUGUCUGUGCUCCUUGAGCCAAUCCCCGACAAGGUACUCAUUUAUAGUCAUAUCUAUCAGAAUUCUGUUUCAUGUUAAAUAUCACUUAUGAAGAAGACACCAUGUAAAAUUGAGUUAAUGCCCACUUGAAGUUGAUAUUAAAAAACCUGAACACUUUUUCAUACAAGAAUUACCCUCCUUUUUUUACCAGACUUGGCAUUUUUCGUAGUGACAAUAUGCUUUAUUGUGCACAUUCUCCAUACUCUACUCCUUAACCAUGAGCAUUUCAUCCUGUUUCUCUGAAUCUGCAAACAAAAUGUGGUAUCACAGGCUUCAGCAAGAAGAGGAGCCAGGAGCCCAAUGUGGCAAACACAGAGGCAGUGUCCUGACCAACAAGGGUGCUGUCCUGCAGGGCCUGGACAUGGAAGCAGAGCAGAUCUCGUGAUGAUAACAUCUCCGGCCAAGAGUCCAGACUGCCAGACAAGUCCACAGUAACGUGACAGGCCUGAGGUCAAGCAAGCAGGUCAGGUCAGCAACAGGUCAGCCUGAGUUUGGAUGCAGUAGAAUCAUAGAAUAGAAUCAUAGAAUCAUUUCAGUUGGAAGAGACCCUCAGAAUCAGUGAAUCCAACCAUAACCUAACCUAACUCUAGCACUAAACCCUAAGAACCUCGUCUAAAUGCCUUUUAAACACCUCCAGGGAUGGUGACUCCACCACUUCCUUGGGCAGCCUGUUCCAAGGCCUGACAACCCUUUCUGUGAAUAAUUUUUUCCUAAUAUCCAAUCUAAACCUCCCCUGGCACAACUUGAGGCCAUUUCCUCUUGUUCUAUCAUUUGCCAAAGUAGUCAGGGUCAGAUACAGUCUGGUGGAUGUAGUGAUGAGGCAGGUCCAUGCUCAAGCUGGGAUGUCAACUCAGGGGUAGAGGGUUGAGGUGUAGAUUACCAGGGCACAGCGGCCAGCACUGGGCACAGCUGUGAAAUCUGACCAAGGGUAAGACCCUCGUAUUAAAAGCUUCUGCACAGAGAAACAGGGAGAACAGCUGCUGAGGCUUCUUAGUGGUCUCAAAGAAGUCUUCUCAAGGUUCAACACCUGCCUAAACUGGCCCUGAUCCGAGACUGCCAAACCCCCACAGAACUGAAGCCAGCAUUGCUCAACACAUGGUCUGGGGGCCAGCACUGGUUUGGGAGGCGUGCAAAGGUGGUCCCAAAAGUGGUUGCUGGAUUCUGAUCAUGCUUAGUGCCUGGGGAAAGGAUCUGCCACAUUGUUUGCAAUAUUAGUUAUAGUUUGCAUGUUUGCAAUUAGGACAUAAUACAGAUUUGGAAAUUAAUCCAUUCUAAUUUAGGGACCUAAAAAUUAGAUGGUUAAAUCAGACAGUAAAUCACUUCACAAAGCUGAAUGUGUCUUUAAAGGAAGUCACAAUGACUUACAUUUUGGUGAUAUGCAUUACCCAAUUUAACAAGCUUUAACAGGAUUUUUGUUUUGCAAUUGCUCAUAUUUUGUCAAUUAAAAGUUGCAGUGCUCUUGGUUCAUCUGAAUUCAUUCUCUUUCACACCCAUUACCAAAACUGUCUGCUAGUGCAUGGAGGAAAAAAAACCAUGUUUAUUAUGUACAAAGAAGUUGGCAUUGUUUGUACAAAAGUUCACUCACCAUUCCUGCUGAAAACAAUGUUUGAAUUCUAUGUUAUUUCUCAUGAAAAAACUCCACAGUGUUCACAAAAGAAACUCCCGUUUAAACUGAAAUCAACUGACUUUUAAAAACAAUCUCUUCUUGCACUUUUUCCUUAGAUGUGAUCAUACCUUAUGAAUGUGUAGAGUCAUAUUUCAACUUGAAUUUAUAUGAUAGAUAUUAAUUAAUAAAUGCUGUUUCACCUGCCUCUUUACAGUUAAUAACUCUGCUUCAGACAUGUAAGGGCUUUUAUGCAUCAAUAUUUCCCACAUUUUAUAGCUCCACAUAGUCCCUCAAAAAGAUUAUCAUUGCUAAAGGCCAAUCAAAAUAAAUGGUGCCAGAUGUUCUGAAAGCUCUGCGCUUAUCUCAUCAAAAUGGGUAAAUUCCUGACACACUCUUCUCACACUCCUUAUUAAUGUACAGUCCUUUGUCAAUGUACCGUUUGGGACUGAGUUUUUGUAUCUGGCCCUUCAUAAACAUUUUGUGCCUCAUUCACACAAAGAAAAGUUGAGAAGGAUUUGAUUUGCCUGUUGAAUAAGAAGUUUGGAUUUCAGAAAAAUGGGGGUACCUUGCUUAGGUGAGUGAUAAAAGAGCAACAAUAUGCUUUAUCUAUAGUGAAUGCAGGCUAUUUUAACCCAUUAAAGAUAAUGCC